rnacentral:rRNA from 1 species
UACGGAGGGUGCAAGCGUUAUCCGGAUUCACUGGGUUUAAAGGGUGCGUAGGUGGGUCUGUAAGUCAGUGGUGAAAUCUCCGUGCUUAACAUGGAAACUGCCAUUGAUACUAUAGGUCUUGAAUUUUCUGGAGGUCAGCGGAAUAUGUCAUGUAGCGGUGAAAUGCUUAGAUAUCGAGAGGAACACCUGCGGCGAAGGCGGGUUGCUGGGCUGACACUGACGCUGAGGCGCGAAAGCCAGGGGAGCGAACGGG